CAACUUUCAGCAACGGAUCUCUUGGCUCUCGCACCGAUGAAGAACGCAGCGAAAUGCGAUAAGUAAUGUGAAUUGCAGAAUUCAGUGAAUCAUCGAAUCUUUGAACGCACCUUGCGCUCCUUGGUAUUCCGAGGAGCAUGCCUGUUUGAGUGUCAUUA
rnacentral:rRNA from 1 species